rnacentral:tRNA from 2 species
GGGCCGUUAGCUCAGUCUGGUAGAGCAGCGGACUCUUAAUCCGUCGGUCGAAGGUUCGAAUCCUUCACGGCCCAUCA